CAUUAUGAUCCAUUCCCUGAAGUGAAUGUGAUAAUUGUAAUAAAUCCUGUAAGUAUGAACACGUUCUUGAUGUAAUUGUGUCUUAUGUCUGACAUUAUGAAAAGAUAGUUCGUUGCCCUUGAAAUUUCGGGCAAGAACUAUAUGGCAUGAGUGUUGGAUGCUGAAAUCCAUUUGGAUGCAAUGGGUCUUGGAGACGCCAUUAAAGACA
rnacentral:lncRNA from 1 species